rnacentral:rRNA from 1 species
AUGGGAGCCAAGUGCAAAGUCAAUUGGAAAAUAGUUUGUAAGCCAAUGGAAUAUGGUGGCCUGGGGGUACUCAACACCGAAAUUUUUUCGCGAGCUUUACGUCUUCGUUGGCUGUGGUAUGAAUGGAAGGAGCCCCACAAGCCUUGGGUGGGGUUUGGUAACCCUUGCACCGCCGAGGACCUCGAGUUUUUCUACGCCUCUACAACUAUCACUGUGGGUGACGGUGCAAAAACACCGUUCUGGGACUCCCCAUGGCUAUUUGGGCGGAAACCCAUGGAUAUUGCUCCAUUAAUCUACGAGGCUUCAAGGAGAAAGAAUUGGAAGAUGCGUGAAGCCCUCUAUGAGAAUGCAUGGAUUCUCAAAAUCAAUCCAAAUAACUGA